AAGGGAGUGUACAUUAAGGAAACAAUGCUGCUCUGUAACGUCCACAAUAAUUACAAAGAUGAAAAGGUUAGUCUAUUAGUGUGCUAAGAUACACUGAAUACUUUCUUUGUAAAGACAGUAUGGUGGGGGAGAGGAGUUUUUAAGAUUUGUGUUUUAUUUCUUAUUAUCCUACUCUAAUUUGAUUGGAAAUAUAUUAAAUUAAUUUCCACAAGUCAAGUCUGUUUUGCCUAUGACAGUAAUUCUUGAGUGAUCUCUCCCUGUCCUUAUCUCAACUCACAAGCCUUUUGUAAUAUUUUCUUUCCCCUGUCCAGCUGAGGAGUGGGAGUGCCAGACCAGCAUUGGUGGGCACCUGGUAUCAAUCCAGAAUCAACCCAACACAAUCAGUUAUUACUCAUGUUAAGAAAAUCAUAAGAAGACUGUCAUCUCUCUGGAACAGGGCUCAUCAUCUUAACCUGUCUCAAGUACAACAUUGACCUGAAACUUGAUUGGACAGCUUUAGCUGAUCCUUUUCAAACAGGACUCUGGAGACACAGAAAGUGUGGCCUGCAGCUAGAAUCUAUCACCAUUCUACAAAUCUAUUCAAAGAAAAAGAUCCACACCCAGUCUGCCUAGUUGCAACUGCGCUUUUCUUAUUGCCCUGGCUGCAAACUUCAAUAAAGGAACAGCAUUUAAAAAUGGA